rnacentral:tRNA from 1 species
UUAACGUAGCAAAACAGGCUUUGCAAAAGACUUAAACCCUUUUCAUAGAAGUUCGAACCUUCUCGUUAAUAC